UACGUAGGGGGGCUAGCGUUGUCCGGAAUCAUUGGGCGUAAAACGCGUGUAGGCGGUCCGGUAAGUCCGCUGUGAAAGUCGGGGGGCUCAACCCUCGGAUGCCGGUGGAUACUGUCGGGCUUGAGUACGGAAGAGGCGAGUGGAAUUCCUGGUGUAGCGGUGAAAUGCGCAGAUAUCAGGAGGAACACCAAUUGCGAAGGCAGCUCGCUGGGACGUUACUGACGCUGAGACGCGAAAGCGUGGGGAGCAAACAGG
rnacentral:rRNA from 1 species